GGCCAUAUCGUGUUAAAGUACCGGUUCCCGCACGAUCUUCGAAGUUAAGCAAAGUCGAACCUGGUCAGUAUCUAGAUGGGUAAUCGCUUGGAAUACCAGUUGCUGUAAU